GCACACACCUGGCAGGGCAGAUACCAUGAUCAAGAAGUUGGUUUCUGAAGGUGAGGUUUAUCCAUUGCCCUCCCUAUUUGCUGACCUUUGUAAUUUUUUCAAAUGCAGGAAACUCAGGUGCAUAAUUUGUGGUGGUUGAGGUCUGUAUUCCUGCUCUCUG
rnacentral:snRNA from 1 species